UGGUGGAGUGAUUUGUCUGGUUAAUUCCGAUAACGAACGAGACUCUAGCCUACUAACUAGUUGUCGGAUCGUUAGUCUGAUCAACUUCUUAGAGGGACAAGCGGCAAUUAGCCGCACGAGAUUGAGCAAUAACA
rnacentral:rRNA from 1 species